rnacentral:rRNA from 1 species
UUACAGUGAAGAGUUUGAUCCUGGCUCAGGAUGAACGCUAGCUACAGGCUUAACACAUGCAAGUCGAGGGGCAGCAUGAAGUUUGCUUGCAAACUUUGAUGGCGACCGGCGCACGGGUGAGUAACGCGUAUCCAACCUUCCCCGUAGUAGGGAAUAGCCCGGCGAAAGUCGGAUUAAUGCCCUAUGUUGUAUUAUGAGGACAUCUGAUUAAUACCAAAGAUUUAUCGCUAUGGGAUGGGGAUGCGUCUGAUUAGGUAGUAGGCGGGGUAACGGCCCACCUAGCCGACGAUCAGUAGGGGUUCUGAGAGGAAGGUCCCCCACAUUGGUACUGAGACACGGACCAAACUCCUACGGGAGGCAGCAGUGAGGAAUAUUGGUCAAUGGGCGAGAGCCUGAACCAGCCAAGUAGCGUGCAGG